GUGAGCCACCAUACCCCAGCCCCUCUUGAUUCUUUAUCAGUGCCCUAUCCUGUACCUCUCAUGGCCUCUUGAGUAAGUACUGACCCAAGAAAAGAAGAUGCAGCUGCUUCUCUCCAGAAGCUCCACUAGUGAGACUACUCCCUGGGGUGGUGUUGACAAGUUCUCUUAUUUACAGUGAUACUUAGGUCAAGACGUUAAUUUGAUAGUCUUGGUGUCAUGCCUGGCAUGAAGUAGCUGCUCAAUAAAUAAUCACUGUUAGUAUGGCACUAUGAUAACUGCAGACCACACAGGCCUCGAGCAGUGAGCAGCAGCCCAAUAUUUACUAUUGCUCUGGUAGUCUAUACAGCCAUAGAGUCCACGAAUUCUAAAGAGGAGCUCUGGAAAGUGUGAAAGCCUCUGGACUCCAAUGAAGCUAUUUGCUGGGCUCCCCAGGCAAAAAGAAGGCAUAAUAAUUGUCAAUAUCAUCAUUCUCACCAUUAGAAGGUGCCACCUCCCAGACUCUACAACUCGUAUAUCCAGCUGGGAGAGCUUCUAUUUCUCUGCAGGCAAUCAAUUAAUAGAAACCUCCUUUCUGUAAUGAACAUGAAAGCAUUUGACAGUUUUAAAGGAUUUUACCAAUUAAACAAAAGUCAUUCCUUUUCCUCCUUCCUGAACCCAAUACCCGCUCCCAACAUACACACCUUCUACUCCUGGUACAUGGAAGAAGAAAGGGUAACUCGUCUACUCUAGACUCAUCUUAAAUUGACUACAGAUGGUUUGGCUAAUUCAGUUCAAAUUAAAUUCUUUUCUUGCCUAUCCUGUCCUCUUCGCAAAUGGGAAUUGGCCCUUGGAGUUAAAUUUCUUUCUAAAGUUCCUACUGUAUGACUGGGGUAAUUUCUCAACAAUGGCUGGUGAUGUUAGAUCUGUGGUUGCUCAAAAAGAUGGAGGGGCUGGCUGCAGCGGCUCACGCCUGUUAUCCCAGCACUCUGGGAAGUCGAGGUGGGUGGAUCAUUUGAUCACCGUUCUGGGAUUACAGGCAAUGAGCCACCACACCCAGCCUGAACAAGUCACUUUUGAUGCUACCAUUUCCAUGUUUACAAAGUGAAAAGUAAAUCAGUCAGAGUAUAUUAGUUGCAAACAACAGAAACAACUCUAGCUAGCCUGAGAGAAAAAAAAGGUAGAGGGUUAGUCUCCUGGAGAGAUUUGGGGACCUCAAAGGAAAGAUUAUACAAUGUGCCUCCAAAAAAAAAAAAAAAGGGUCACCACAAGGGCAAAUGCGUGAUUUAAUGGGGUUGGGACUUUCAGCCCCAUCCCCCAACCUCUGGGGAGGAGAGAGGGACUGAAGGUCAAGUUGAUCACCAAUGGCCAAUGGUUUAAUCAAUCAUGCCUACAUAAUGAAGCCUCCAUAAAAACCCAAGAGGACAGGCUUCAGAGAGCUUCCUGAUAGCCAGACAUGCUGGGGUUCCUAGAAGGUGGCAGGCCCAGGGAGGACGCAGAAGCUCUGCACCCCUUCCCAUACCUCACCCUAUGCAUCUCUUCAUCUGCAGCCUUUGUAAUAGCCUUUAUAAUAAACUGGUGUGUUUCCCUGAAUUCUUUUUGGUUUUUUAAUUUUUGAGACA
rnacentral:lncRNA from 1 species